GGACAGAUGGCCGAGUGGUCUAAGGCGCCGUCUUAAGGAGGUUGUUGGGACGUCGGGAGGCGUUCCGGAGGUGAUCCGGCGGUCUUCGGGCGUGGGUUCGAAUCCCACUCUGUUCA
rnacentral:tRNA from 2 species